UACGUAGGGGGCUAGCGUUGUCCGGAAUCAUUGGGCGUAAAGCGCGUGUAGGCGGUUCGGUAAGUCCGCUGUGAAAGUCGGGGCUCAACCCUCGAAUGCCGGUGGAUACUGUCGGGCUAGAGUGCGGAAGAGGCGAGUGGAAUUCGUGGUGUAGCGGUGGAAUGCGUAGAGAUCCGGAAGAACACCGGUGGCGAAGGCGGCCUGCUGGGCGGCGACUGACG
rnacentral:rRNA from 1 species